ACAUACGACCACAGCUCGUAGAGAACACGGGGUCCCGUCCGCUCCCCCUUAGUUAAGCUGCGAAGCGCUGGAUUAGUAGUUGGGUCGGUGACGACCAGCGAAUCCCCAGUGUUGUAUGUU
rfam:Fusarium oxysporum Fo5176 contig03843, whole genome shotgun sequence.